AAUUUCAAAUCAACAACAUAAUUAGAAGGAAAAACCAAUAUCCAUUUCCAAAACCAUAUCCAAUUAGUAGCACAUUCAAAAUGCAAAGGAACACUCCACCCUGAUCUCUGAGUGUCAACCUUAUCCACAUUCCCAAACCUUGAAACAAAAACAAUGCCACAAAUAAUCUCCAAAGUAGUCAACCACACAGUCCAUGAAGUCAAAUCUUGAUCCAACAACUGCACCACCAUAAUCAAGAAUCUCCAAAACACUCUCAACACCAUUGAGAAAAGAGCCUUAGAUGAUUGUCUCAAACUCUUUGAUGACACCAUUGUAGAACUCAACACCACCAUUCUUGAUCUCUCAAAAAAUCCAUCAUCAUCAUCGUCAUCUUCAAACCAAGAUUUGUACACUUGUCUUGAUGGUUUUUCACAAAGCAAAAAUGGGAAUGCUGAGAGAGGGUUGAUAGAGGAGAAAGUGAUUGAGAUACACAACAUGCUUCAACUUAAUAAUGGAAGCAAACAUCACUCCAUUGGCUACAGGAUGCAGUGGACCAUACACUUUAUGCAGUGGACCAUGCAAUGGGUACCUUUUAGGACAUAGUAUUGGAAAACUGUUAGCUUUUGCAGUAAAAUUUUAACAGUAGAAAUCCUCUUAUCAUUUUAUAAUCUUCAAAGUCUCGUCUAUGAAAUCCGCAAUAGACAAGGACCUUCACUGCAUUAUUCUUAUUAUGUUUCUUAUACAAUAUACCUUCUCUUACACCUUUUAUAACCACUGUUAGUAAGGGUUUUGAUUUUCUCUACAUCAAAGUAUGUACAAAUCACUUGGGCAAGAAUGAUGGAACAACAUUGAAUCCCAAAUCACAUGUGUAUCAAAUUGCUUCAUCUCUGAUGAACCCUCUGCCACGCCUUUUUACACUGCUAUUCUAGAUUUUGGAGUUUACAUAUGGUAGCUAAACAGAAACACAGAGAGAAUGAGAAUUAUGAAAUAGGAGCCUGUUUCCUCACAGGAUUGAUGGUGCACUCGCCUUGUCUGCGACUUCAUUGAUUCAGCAAGAAACAGAUUGGAGGAAGUUGAAGUAAGAGUGUACAACCUUUGCAGAGUUUAAAAUUUGGAGUGUUGCUAUAUAUACUGGAGAUUCUUUAACAAGAAGGAAAAAGAG